rnacentral:rRNA from 1 species
UACAGAGGUCUCAAGCGUUGUUCGGAUUCAUUGGGCGUAAAGGGCGUGUAGGCGGCGCGCUAAGUCGGGUGUGAAAUUUCGGAGCUUAACUCCGAAACUGCAUUCGAUACUGGCGUGCUUGAGGACUGGAGAGGAGACUGGAAUUCAUGGUGUAGCAGUGAAAUGCGUAGAGAUCAGGAGGAAGACCAGUGGCGAAGGCGGGUCUCUGGACAGUUCCUAACGCUGAGACACGAAGGCCAGGGGAGCAAACGGG